GAAAUAAAGAGUCUCACAGACUUCCUCGGCCAACUGGCUUUGAACCGUGAUCCUCAGAUCUGUUUCCUUAGUAGCUAACAAGGAUGAGGCACCAGUGCCUGACUCUCCACCUACUUCUAAUGGGAGGCUUGAACUGUCUUUUAUGAUUUUCCUGUCAUCAUUC